rnacentral:rRNA from 1 species
GGCAGCGUGGAUAGGCAUGCAAGUCGGACGGGAUCGGCCGGAUGGCAAUAUUCGGCCGUGAGAGUGGCGGAUUGGGAGGAGCACGUGAGCAACCUGCCCUGGAGAUGUGGAAAACCUCUGGAAACGGAGGCUAAUACAGAAUGUGGCGCCCGACGGCAUCGUCGGAGCGCCGAAGGGGGCCGCAAGGCUCCCGCUCCGGGAUGGGCUCGCGCACCAUCAGCUAGUUGGCGGGUAACGGCCCACCAAGGCCUACGGUUAGCUGGUCUGAGAGGAUGACCAGCCCCACUGGGACUGAGAUACUGCCCAGACUCCUACGGGAGGCUGCAGUCGAGGAUCAUUCGCAAUGGGCGAAAGCCUGACGAUGCGACGCUGCGUGGAGGAAUGAAGGCCUUCGGGUCGUAAACUCCUGUCAUGGGGGAAGAGGCGAGGGAAGCGAACACCUUCCUUAGUUGACUGUACCCCAAGAGGAAGCGACGGCUAACUCUGUGCCAGCAGCCGC